GAGCAUCUUGUAAAACGCAUCAUUAUCUUCCAUGUUUUGCUUGACUUGAAUCUUGGUUACUGCAAGCAUAUUUUGGCUUACAACAGCUUGAGUUCUUUGCAAGUCACUGCUAUCUUUUCUUUCAUUUGGUAUGGCAUGCUUUAUUUUCUGAUUUUCUCUCACUCUUCUUUCUUCUUCUUCUUCUUCUCCAAGACCCAAACCCGUGGGUAUUGUGCAUCAGUACAUAAGUCAUAUUUCGGAAGCUUGGAUCAGAAAACUUCCUUGAUGAAAGUUGUUCAUUUGCUGGAUUACUAUAGCCUGUAAAAUUUGUACAAGUUUUUGAAUUUUUCUGAUGCCUCAAAGUUGGUCUGCAACUUCUGUGUUCA
rnacentral:lncRNA from 1 species